AGCGAACGCUGGCGGCAGGCUUAACACAUGCAAGUCGAACGGGCACUUCGGUGCUAGUGGCAGACGGGUGAGUAACACGUGGGAACGUACCUUUCGGUUCGGAAUAAUUCAGGGAAACUUGGACUAAUACCGGAUACGCCCUUCGGGGGAAAGAUUCAUCGCCGAUAGAUCGGCCCGCGUCUGAUUAGCUAGUUGGUGAGGUAAUGGCUCACCAAGGCGACGAUCAGUAGCUGGUCUGAGAGGAUGAUCAGCCACAUUGGGACUGAGACACGGCCCAAACUCCUACGGGGGGCAGCAGUGGGGAAUAUUGGACAAUGGGCGCAAGCCUGAUCCAGCCAUGCCGCGUGAGUGAUGAAGGCCUUAGGGUUGUAAAGCUCUUUUGUCCGGGAAGAUAAUGACUGUACCGGAAGAAUAAGCCCCGGCUAACUUCGUGCCAGCCGCCGCCGUAACAC
rnacentral:rRNA from 1 species